rnacentral:rRNA from 1 species
UACGUAGGGUGCAAGCGUUAAUCGGAAUUACUGGGCGUAAAGCGUGCGCAGGCGGUUGUGCAAGGCAGAUGUGAAAUCCCCGGGCUCAACCUGGGAACUGCAUUUGUGACUGCACGGCUGGAGUGCGGCAGAGGGGGAUGGAAUUCCGCGUGUAGCAGUGAAAUGCGUAGAUAUGCGGAGGACCACCGAUGGCGAAGGCAAUCCCCUGGGCCUGCACUGACGCUCAUGCACGAAAGCGUGGGGAGCAAACAGG